UACGUAGGGUGCAAGCGUUAAUCGGAAUUACUGGGCGUAAAGCGUGCGCAGGCGGUUAUGUAAGACAGUUGUGAAAUCCCCGGGCUCAACCUGGGAAUGGCAUUUGGGACUGCAAGGCUGGAGUGCGGCAAGAGGAGACUGGAAUUCCUGGUGUAGCAGUGAAAUGCGUAGAUAUCAGGAGGAAUACCGAUGGCGAAGGCAGGUCUCUGGGCUGACACUGACGCUCAUGCACGAAAGCGUGGGGAGCAAACAGG
rnacentral:rRNA from 1 species